rnacentral:lncRNA from 1 species
AGAAUCUCUUCAUCUAUUCUUUGUUAGCUCACUCACAGCAAGUUAUGAACAUGAGUGGUGUGCUGAGAGUAACCGGAACUAUAUGAUUGGCUUACUUUUCCCUUGUAUUUCUUCCUUGCCUUAUGCACCUAUGAGAUUGAUGAGAAUAUAAACUAUAGCACACUGAAUUUGAAGACAAACACAGCAAUAAUUAAGAAUCAAGGAUAUAAACCCAUGAUUGUUUUAUAAUGAAAAUUCUGAUCAAUUUGUAAUCAAGAUGGGUUAUUUUCCUGCAGAUUGUGUUUGCUGUAACUGUGGGGACAGAGUUGGUGACUGGAAACUCAGUUUUCAGAAAGAUGGACAUACAAGGGAUUGCUGAAGCAGGCGGUGUGUGCUUAGGAGCAGUGACCUGCGCUGCAAUUUUCGCUUGGUUCUCCAGUGCUCGCAAUAGAGUAGGCCGUAUCUUCACAACAAGUUGCAAUACAUUCAUUGAUUUACUAAUUGAUGAGGUUGU